CGUUGUUGCCUUCGCGGGGCACGGUGAACACCGUGCACUGGCAGCUGGAGAUGGGAGAUUGUCGGAGGUGUGCUGCCGGCAUUAAGUUGGAUGCCGCACUUAAAUCGGUGGGAAUCUGUCUGACGCCGCCCGCCGGGCCUCAAACGGACUUCUUCCAUCUUUG
rnacentral:misc_RNA from 1 species